UGGGGAAUAUUGGACAAUGGGCGCAAGCCUGCUCCAGCCAUGCCGCGUGAGUGAUGAAGGCCCUAGGGUUGUAAAGCUCUUUCACCGGUGAAGAUAAUGACGGUAACCGGAGAAGAAGCCCCGGCUAACUUCGUGCCAGCAGCCGCGGUAAUACGAAGGGGGCUAGCGUUGUUCGGAUUUACUGGGCGUAAAGCGCACGUAGGCGGACUAUUAAGUCAGGGGUGAAAUCCCGGGGCUCAACCCCGGAACUGCCUUUGAUACUGGUAGUCUUGAGUUGGAGAGAGGUGAGUGGAAUUCCGAGUGUAGAGGUGAAAUUCGUAGAUAUUCGGAGGAACACCAGUGGCGAAGGCGGCUCACUGGCUCGAUACUGACGCUGAGGUGCGAAAGCGUGGGGAGCAAACAGG
rnacentral:rRNA from 1 species